UAGCCGUAGGGACAUGCAAAUUAAGGUCCCAUGGUGGCUAAGAAAGUUCAUAUUUAAUUUUUAAGACUUUCCAAUAUUUUUUAUUUACUUUAUUUAAAACAUUAAUAAAAUGUUUCAUAAUAUAUAAAAAUCACAUACCGUCAGUUUCAAAAAGAAAAAUGACAUGCUGUCAAAUGUCAAUGCAAGCUUAUAUAGGGACUGGGAACAACUGAAUUCUAAUCUAGUUAUAUAUGAUCAAGGGUUAGAUAAAGGCUGUGUUACUUCUUUCGGGGGUCUUUUUUCUGUUAAAAACACAUACAUCAGCUACCAUCUGAUCUGAAAUUAAAUAAUUUUUGUUUCCAGGUUCCUUGUUAUAAAGUAUACAAGAAUGUCAUACACUUAAUUCUUUACUCAGAGUAAUGCAGAAAGGAGAAAAAGGAAAAAGACCAAGAAAGUAAACACCAUACGUAGGGCUGGGUUGUCAAGGCCAUAUGCAAGGGUGAUGAGCUAUUUUCCAAGUGUGGGCAUCCUCCUCCUUGCCCGUGGGCAUCCAAAUGCAGCCUUGGUGUCUCACAUCAUGGUUACUGUCUUCAAUCUCUACCUUGUUCGACAAAAGAUCAUGAUUUUGGCAUCUGAUCAUAAGCGCCUUCGCUAACAAAAUUAAAGAAGCCAUGCUUUCCUCAAUUGCGUCCCGGGCAUAUAUAACACACUAUCAACCAACGUCAUUUCUAAUUAGCUUCUCAGCCACUCCCCUAAUAUAAAAUCCUUAUCUCCUUAACUACUCAUUUGAAUUUGGCCAAGCAAAUCCGAAUUUAUUCCCAAAA
rnacentral:lncRNA from 1 species